AUUGAACACUGGCGGCAGGCUUAACACAUGCAAGUCGAGCGGAGCGGCGGAAGGGUGAGUAAUGCCAAGGAAUCUGCCUGGUAGUGGGGGAUAACGUCCGGAAAUGGGCGCUAAUACCGAAUACGCUCAGAUGAGCCUAGGUCGGAAUAGCUAGUUGGUGGGGUAAAGGCAUACCAAGGCGACGAUCCGUAACUGGUCUGAGAGGCUGAUCAGUCACACUGGAACUGAGACACGGUCCAGACUCCUACGGGAGGCAGCAGUGGGGAAUAUUGGACAAUGGGCGAAAGCCUGAUCCAGCCAUGCCGCGUGUGUGAAGAAGGUCUUCGGAUUGUAAAGCACUUUAAGUUGGGAGGCGUUACCAGCAGAAUAAGCACCGGCUAACUUCGUGCCAGCAGCCGCGGUAAUUC
rnacentral:rRNA from 1 species